CUUCAGUGCUGCAGCUAACGCAUUAAGCACUCCGCUGGGGAGUACGACCGCAAGGUUGAAACUCAAAGGAAUUGACGGGGGCCCGCACAAGCGGUGGAGCAUGUGGUUUAAUUCGAAGCAACGCGAAGAACCUUACCAGGUCUUGACAUCCUUUGACCACUCUAGAGAUAGAGCUUUCCCUUCGGGGACAAAGUGACAGGUGGUGCAUGGUUGUCGUCAGCUCGUGUCGUGAGAUGUUGGGUUAAGUCCCGCAACGAGCGCAACCCUUAUUGUUAGUUGCCAUCAUUCAGUUGGGCACUCUAGCGAGACUGCCGGUGACAAACCGGAGGAAGGUGGGGAUGACGUCAAAUCAUCAUGCCCCUUAUGACCUGGGCUACACACGUGCUACAAUGGGAAGUACAACGAGUCGCUAGGCCGCGAGGUCAUGCAAAUCUCUUAAAGCUUCUCUCAGUUCGGAUUGCAGGCUGCAACUCGCCUGCAUGAAGCCGGAAUCGCUAGUAAUCGCGGAUCAGCACGCCGCGGUGAAUACGUUCCCGGGCCUUGUACACACCGCCCGUCACACCACGAAAGUUUGUAACACCCGAAGUCGGUGAGGUAACCUUUUGGAGCCAGCCGCCUAAGGUGGGAUAGAUGAUUGGGGUGAAGUCGUAACAAGGUAACCAAGGGCGAAUUCCAG
rnacentral:rRNA from 1 species